GAUGAACGCUGGCGGCGUGCCUAAUACAUGCAAGUCGAGCGAACGGACGAGAAGCUUGCUUCUCUGAUGUUAGUGGCGGACGGGUGAGUAACACGUGGAUAACCUACCUAUAAGACUGGGAUAACUUCGGGAAACCGGAGCUAAUACCGGAUAAUAUUUUGAACCGCAUGGUUCAAAAGUGAAAGACGGUCUUGCUGUCACUUAUAGAUGGAUCCGCGCUGCAUUAGCUAGUUGGUAAGGUAACGGCUUACCAAGGCAACGAUGCAUAGCCGACCUGAGAGGGUGAUCGGCCACACUGGAACUGAGACACGGUCCAGACUCCUACGGGAGGCAGCAGUAGGGAAUCUUCCGCAAUGGGCGAAAGCCUGACGGGGCAACGCCGCGUGAGUGAUGAAGGUCUUCGGAUCGUAAAACUCUGUUAUUAGGGAAGAACAUAUGUGUAAGUAACUGUGCACAUCUUGACGGUACCUAAUCAGAAAGCCACGGCUAACUACGUG
rnacentral:rRNA from 1 species